GUCAGAAUGAUCUCUUGGUGUUUGUUUCGGCUGUAUGAAUUGCAUGCUUUAUGUUCCUUUCCAUUUGCUUUUGCUAGCGAAAUCAUCCGUGUUUAAUUUUCUCCUUAGCUGCAAUGCCUGUAAGGGCGCAGGUCUUUAUCCCCGUGGUGUGCUUGAAUUGAGCUGUGUGAUUGCAUCAUGUCAUUAUAGAUUGUGUACACAAGUAUGUCUGAGGCGUAAAGUCGAGC
rnacentral:misc_RNA from 1 species